rnacentral:rRNA from 1 species
AGUGAACGCUGGCGGCGUGCUUAACACAUGCAAGUCGAACGAGAACGGAAUAUAGCUUGCUAUAUUUGUCAGCUAAGUGGCGCACGGGUGAGUAAUGUAUAGAUAACCUGCCCUUAAGAAAGGAAUAACAGUUGGAAACGACUGCUAAUGCCCUAUAUGCCUUUAAUACAUAAGUAUGCAAGGGAAACGCUUUAGUGCUUAAGGAUGGGUCUGUCUGGUAUAAGCUUGUUGGUGAGGUAAGGGCUCACCAAGGCUAUGACGCCUAACUGGUUUGAGAGGCUGAGCAGUCACACUGGAACGGAGACACGGUCCAGACUCCUACGGGAGGCGGCCGAGGGGGAUAUUGCACAAUGGACGAAAGGCUGAUGCAGCAACGCCGCGUGGAGGAUGACACAUUUCGGUGCGUAAACUCCUUUUAUAUAGGAAGAUAAUGACGGUACUAUAUGAAUAAGCACCGGCUAACUCCGUGCCAGCAGCCGCCGUAA